rnacentral:rRNA from 1 species
UCUGUAGGUGAACCUGCAGAUGGAUCA